GGGAGAUGCGGGAAGGGAAGGUGCUGCCUAACGACCUUCUAUGUUAACCUGGGCGUCUUCUCACCAGAGCCCCUACGCGACGCUUGGUUUCACCAGCAUUGUGAUCGGUAUUCCGAUGAGCUCUCAGGACUCCCGGUGAUGCCAGGGAGCCGUCCUGAGCAACAGGUGAAAUCUCCUUCUGCAGCCUUCACAUAGGAGAAAGCCGCCCUUGUGAUGCUUCUGUUCGCCGUGGAAGGGAUCUGCAUGCUACAGGCAGCUCCCCUGGGCCAAGCUCAUGAACUCCGGAGGGACUAGAGUAUACAAUCUGCACAGAGAAGUUCUUGUCUGGCUCUGGCUGUCCGUAUCGCGUGGCUGUAUUAUUUCAGAAAGUGUAUUCAAGGAGCAGUAAAUCCAGCAUUUAUUCUAAUUCCUUCACAUUUUAUGGCAGGGCUGAACCAACCAUAAAACAGAUUGACAGAUAUAGCGAGAACGAAAUCCUGUAUUUUAGAAGCUAACGACUUUAUUUCAUUUCAUGUCAACGCCAAGGGCUGAUGAAUGGUUCUGGAAUUUCUGAACUGAGACGUUCCCCCCAGCUCCAGAGAUGGAGCAUUGCGAGAGCAAUGAUAGGAGUCCCAGCCCAGGCCAUCUAAUCUCCCCAAAUUACUCCCUAUUCAUUUUUCUUUGAGAUGGUUUAUUUCAUGAAGGCUGGAUACUCAGGUCUCCGGCUCUGCAGUGACACCUAGAGGCUAAGCUGCUCCAGGAGGUUAAAAAAUACUUCCACGACAAGGAGACAACAGUAAGCCCCAAAAUGAAGUUGGAGUUGUCUUUUCAUCAGAGGUUGAAGUCAUGAUCUUUGGAGCUGCAGAUAUUCCGGGAGGCCUUUUCCACGCCUGGGAGAGACGAGUAGAGACUCCGUGCAACCGGCUGCCAAUGAGGACCCAGGGCCGUGCCCUCCAAGGGGCAUCUUGCACCCUCUUCCCGUGACUCAGUUCUCUGCGUUACCCAGUUCUGGCCAAGGUGGGGAGGGUAGUGGACCGGCUUCUUCCCUAGAUUA
rnacentral:lncRNA from 1 species